GUAGGUGAACCUGCGGAAGGAUCAUUACAGUGUUCCCUGCCCUCACGGGUAGAAACGCCCACCCUUGUGUAUUAUAUCUUGUUGCUUUGGCAGGCCGCCCUCGGGCACCGGCUUCGGCUGGGUCGCGCCUGCCAGAGGACCCCAAACUCUGAAUGUUAGUGUCGUCUGAGUACUUAUAUAAUAGUUAAAACUUUCAACAACGGAUCUCUUGGUUCUG
rnacentral:misc_RNA from 1 species